GCUCGCGUAGCUCAGUGGUAGAGCAUUGUACUUAUGAGGAUACACUACGACUAUGCAAGGGUCUCCAGUUCAAUCCUGGGCGUGAGCA